rnacentral:rRNA from 1 species
UACGGAGGGGGCUAGCGUUGUUCGGAAUUACUGGGCGUAAAGCGCACGUAGGCGGCUAUUUAAGUCAGAGGUGAAAGCCUGGAGCUCAACUCCAGAACUGCCUUUGAGACUGGAUAGCUAGAAUCUUGGAGAGGCGGGUGGAAUUCCGAGUGUAGAGGUGAGAUUCGUAGAUAUUCGGAAGAACACCAGUGGCGAAGGCGGCCCGCUGGACAAGUAUUGACGCUGAGGUGCGAAAGCGUGGGGAGCAAACAGG